AUUGAACGCUGGCGGCAGGCCUAACACAUGCAAGUCGAGCGGCAGCGGGAAAGUAGCUUGCUACUUUUGCCGGUGAGCGGCGGACGGGUGAGUAAUGCCUGGGAAAUUGCCCAGUCGAGGGGGAUAACAGUUGGAAACGACUGCUAAUACCGCACACGCCCUACGGGGGAAAGCAGGGGACCUUCGGGCCUUGCGCGAUUGGAUAUGCCCAGGUGGGAUUAGCUAGUUGGUGAGGUAAUGGCUCACCAAGGCGACGAUCCCUAGCUGGUCUGAGAGGAUGAUCAGCCACACUGGAACUGAGACACGGUCCAGACUCCUACGGGAGGCAGCAGUGGGGAAUAUUGCACAAUGGGGGAAACCCUGAUGCAGCCAUGCCGCGUGUGUGAAGAAGGCCUUCGGGUUGUAAAGCACUUUCAGCGAGGAGGAAAGGUUGGCGCCUAAUACGUGUCAACUGUGACGUUACUCGCAGAAGAAGCACCGGCUAACUCCGUGCCAGCAGCCGCCGUAA
rnacentral:rRNA from 1 species